rnacentral:rRNA from 1 species
AACGGAGGGUGCGAGCGUUGUUCGGAAUUACUGGGCGUAAAGCGCGUGCAGGUGGUCUUUUAAGUUCCGUGUGAAAUCCCCCGGCUUAACCGGGGAACUGCGCGGAAAACUGGAAGACUUGAGUACGGGAGAAGAGGGCGGAAUUCCCAGUGUAGAGGUGAAAUUCGUAGAUAUUGGGAGGAACACCGGUGGCGAAAGCGGCUCUCUAGACCGAUACUGACACUCAUACGCGAAAGCGUGGGUAGCAAACAGG